CAGCCGCCGCGGUAAAACGGAGGGUGCAAGCGUUAAUCGGAAUUACUGGGCGUAAAGCGCACGCAGGCGGUUUGUUAAGUCAGAUGUGAAAUCCCCGAGCUUAACUUGGGAACUGCAUUUGAAACUGGCAAGCUAGAGUCUUGUAGAGGGGGGUAGAAUUCCAGGUGUAGCGGUGAAAUGCGUAGAGAUCUGGAGGAAUACCGGUGGCGGAGGCGGCCCCCUGGACAAAGACUGACGCUCAGGUGCGAAAGCGUGGGGAGCAAACAGGAUUAGAUACCCGUGUAGUCCCUGUCUCUUAUAC
rnacentral:rRNA from 1 species